AUUGAUGGCUGUAAAACAGUGACCGCUGAUUCGCAUCGAGUUCUUUCUUGCAAAACGCAUGACCCCCCUUUUUUAUUGUCUAAAUCAUUGCGACUUGGAAUGCUCUUUAAGAAAAGGUAGAGGAAUGUCUGCAACUAAGCCGAGGGCCACUGGAUAAGGGUUGUUGAUGGUAAAACAGGUAGAGGAAUGUCUGCAACUAAGCCGAGGGCCACUGGAUAAGGGUUGUUGAUGGUAAAACAGGUAGAGGAAUGUCUGCAACUAAGCCGAGGGCCACUGGAUAAGGGUUGUUGAUGGUAAAACAGGUAGAGGAAUGUCUGCAACUAAGCCGAGGGCCACUGGAUAAGGGUUGUUGAUGGUAAAACAGGUUAAAGACUACAUGAGACUUUGACAGAUGGCGGGAAACCCACAUCCACUGGUACGAACCCGGUAAAUUGAUGGCUGUAAAACAGUGACCGCUGAUUCGCAUCGAGUUCUUUCUUGCAAAACGCAUGACCCCCCUUUUUUAUUGUCUAAAUCAUUGCGACUUGGAAUGCUCUUUAAGAAAAGGUAUGGUUAUGGGGGUCUCUAUGCGCAAAAGUUUGACUUUAUUUUUUGUUGAAGUUAUUGCUUUUACAUUGAAUUUGUGUAGGAAAUCUUUUGGUAUAUUGUAACCUA